AUUGAACGCUGGCGGCAGGCUUAACACAUGCAAGUCGAGCGGGGGAAGGUAGCUUGCUACCGGACCUAGCGGCGGACGGGUGAGUAAUGCUUAGGAAUCUGCCUAUUAGUGGGGGACAACAUCUCGAAAGGGAUGCUAAUACCGCAUACGUCCUACGGGAGAAAGCGGGGGAUCUUCGUACCUUGCGCUAAUAGAUGAGCCUAAGUCGGAUUAGCUAGUUGGUGGGGUAAAGGCCUACCAAGGCGACGAUCUGUAGCGGGUCUGAGAGGAUGAUCCGCCACACUGGGACUGAGACACGGCCCAGACUCCUACGGGAGGCAGCAGUGGGGAAUAUUGGACAAUGGGGGGAACCCUGAUCCAGCCAUGCCGCGUGUGUGAAGAAGGCCUUAUGGUUGUAAAGCACUUUAAGCGAGGAGGAGGCUACUCUAGUUAAUACCUAGGGAUAGUGGACGUUACUCGCAGAAUAAGCACCGGCUAACUCUGUGCCAGCAGCCGCCGAAA
rnacentral:rRNA from 1 species